rnacentral:rRNA from 1 species
CAGUCGAACGAGAUCUUCAGAUCUAGUGGCGCACGGGUGCGUAACGCGUGGGAAUCUGCCCCUUGGUUCGGAAUAACAGUUGGAAACGACUGCUAAUACCGGAUGAUGACGUAAGUCCAAAGAUUUAUCGCCGAGGGAUGAGCCCGCGUAGGAUUAGCUAGUUGGUGUGGUAAAGGCGCACCAAGGCGACGAUCCUUAGCUGGUCUGAGAGGAUGAUCAGCCACACUGGGACUGAGACACGGCCCAGACUCCUACGGGAGGCAGCAGUGGGGAAUAUUGGACAAUGGGCGCAAGCCUGAUCCAGCAAUGCCGCGUGAGUGAUGAAGGCCUUAGGGUUGUAAAGCUCUUUUACCCGGGAUGAUAAUGACAGUACCGGGAGAAUAAGCUCCGGCUAACUCCGUGCCAGCAGCCGCG